AUUGAACGAUGGCGGCAUGCCUUACACAUGCAAGUCGAACGGCAGCACGGGAGCAAUCCUGGUGGCGAGUGGCGAACGGGUGAGUAAUAUAUCGGAACGUGCCCAGUGGUGGGGGAUAACGUAGCGAAAGCUACGCUAAUACCGCAUACGAUCUAUGGAUGAACGCGGGGGAUCGCAAGAACUCGCGCGAUUGGAGCGGCCGAUAGCAGAUUAGGUAGUUGGUGAGGUAAAGGAUCACCAAGCCGACGAUCUGUAGCUGGUCUGAGAGGACGACCCGCCACACUGGGACUGAGACACGGCCCAGACUCCGACGGGAGGCAGCAGUGGGGAAUUUUGGACAAUGGGCGCAAGCCUGAUCCAGCAAUGCCGCGUGCAGGAUGAAGGCCUUCGGGUUGUAAACUGCUUUUGUACGGAACGAAACGGCGAGCUCUAAUACAGUUUGCUAAUGACGUUACCGUAAGAAUAAGCACCGGCUAACUACGUGCCAGCCGCCGCCGUAA
rnacentral:rRNA from 1 species